UGGCGGCGUGCCUAAUACAUGCAAGUCGGGCGGAGCCCGAGGGGAGCUUGCUCCUUUUCGGGCUCAGCGGCGGACGGGUGAGUAACACGUGGGUAACCUGCCCGUAAGACCGGGAUAACUCCGGGAAACCGGGGCUAAUACCGGAUAACACCGGGGGCCACAUGGCUUCCGGUUGAAAGGCGGCUUUUGGCUGCCACUUACGGAUGGGCCCGCGGCGCAUUAGCUAGUUGGCGGGGUAACGGCCCACCAAGGCGACGAUGCGUAGCCGGCCUGAGAGGGUGGACGGCCACACUGGGACUGAGACACGGCCCAGACUCCUACGGGAGGCAGCAGUAGGGAAUCUUCCGCAAUGGGCGAAAGCCUGACGGAGCGACGCCGCGUGAGCGAGGAAGGCCUUCGGGUCGCAAAGCUCUGUUGUCAGGGAAGAAGGCGCGCCGUUCGAAUAGGGCGGCGCGGUGACGGUACCUGACGAGGAAGCCCCGGCUAACUACGUG
rnacentral:rRNA from 1 species